UUAGAUACUUAUAGAAAAAAAAAAUUAGAAUAUAUUUUUUUUUUAAAUUUCGUCUUAAAAAAACAAAAACAAAAUUCAAAUCCAAUGGCUUGCUGACGUCAGCCAGCAUGUGAGUUGCUGAUAGCUGGCCCAUCAUUUCGGGUUGGCUGGCUGGCUUCAAUUGCCCAGCCCGAUGGCCAUGGGCUGGAAUUUGGCCCAGUGGAUCCCCUUUUUCCUUUGACUUGGACCUUUAUUAGAGAUGAUUUUUUCUUCGUUUCGAGCUAUAAAAGUGCCUAUAGCUCUAUAACCUGAUGCAUUGGAAAUGACCUUUAUACUAUGUUUGGAUGAAGAAAUUUAAGAUUAUUAAGGAAUUUUAAAAUGAUGGAAAUUGAAAUGAAGGGAUUUUAUUUUCUAGAAUUUGUGAAUUUUCUUAUUUGGUUAACAUAAAAGAACAAUGAAAUUGGAUACGGAUUUUGUUAUUUUUAAACUCUUAAUUAUAGAAAUUGAGAUAUGACACGUAUAUACAUAAAAUUUAAACUUGGGAAUUGUAGGUCUCAAAUUCCAAGUUGCUCUUCCACGCGUAAAUUCUAAAUUUCUAUAUUUAUCAAUCCAAAUAAGAGAAUUGGCGUAUAUCAAUUUAAAAUUUUGAUUUUUAGCUAAAUUCUAAAUUUAUUUGUCCUGUUCAAAAAUAGUGUUAAGUCCCAAAACAUUUUCUAUUUUCAAAAAUGAGAAAAAUCAGCACACUUUUCAAACAAGAGAAAAAAAGGCACACUACUCAUAGGGUGUCCCUCACCUCCCUCCGUCUCCGCCUUCUAUUUAAUGUUCUCGGCGGUCCAACCGCCGUAAAUUGCAUUCGGUCCCCUUCACUCGGAUAGGGAUCAUUCAGUCAAUUAGGGUUUCACUGCAGCACAAGAAAGAAGCUCAUAAACUUCCAUUUUGAAAUCGAUGGCGUCGUUUGGGUCUUUAAAAUCUGCAAUCUUCGACAGAGAAGAGAGAAAACAGUAGCUUUCCCCCCUCUUUUGUGACUUUCGCUGUCCAAUUUUUCUUUCAAUUUUGAAUUUAAUCUCUUGUUUUUAUGGGAGAUUUUCAGGCAGUACCAGGCUCAUAUUCUCGGCCUCAACGCUUACGACCGCCACAAAAAGUUCGUCAAAGAUUACGUUAGCUUUUAUGGUAGAGAAGCAUCUUCACAUGUCAAGCUGCCGGUUAAAACUGAUCACGACACCCUGAAGGUUACUGGUUCAUAAGAUCCGAGGAAGAUGAUAUGGACCGAUCUCGGGAGCAAAGACUGGUAAAGCGAUACUAUGAAGAGCUGUUUAAAGAAUACUGCAUGACAUGUCACACUACAAGAGUGGUAAGAUUGGUCUAAGGGUGGAGGACAGAAAAGGAGGUCACAUCUGGUAAAGGUAAUGUUAUUCUCUUCGUUGACUACAAAGGUACCCCUAUCAUCUAACUUCUCUUAGAUGUUAAGUGGAUUUCUUUUGUAUAGAAAACUAAUAAUUAAGAACAAAUAUAAUUUGAAUAUAAUUAAGAUCACUUGGUGUUUAUUGGAAGACAAGAUUUAGUAGUGUGUAAAUCUUCCAAUUUCUAGUGUAAGUCGAUUGUCACAUGUAUAUAGGAGGUUGUUUCCUUAAAAUUUUCAAUUUAAAUUAUGUAAUUCUUUUUCCUUUGUUUUGAAAACGGUGAUUUUUGAGUUUUUCAAAAUUAUUUCUCUUGCAUUUGGUAGUUGACAUGGCACCAUAUUGUUCUUCAUAGAAUAACGAUUGCCAAUUGGCCUCAAUAAUGGCCGAGAUGCUCUUAUUAUUUUAUUAUUCUUGACUCUCAAGAAAGCAAAGGGAAAAGAGGCUCAUCCACUUCCAAGAGAAAACGUUCCACAUGCAAACUUAAAACUUCUAGUUCGACCCUGUUUGACUAAAUUCUUAUUUGGAACGUUAUAUUGUGUAUCAAUUUAUUCAAAGUGGAAGAUUGACUUGAUAAUGUUUUCUGACAGGGCAGUUAAUAUGUGGUAACAGACAUUGUGAUGUAAAGAUGAUUUAGCAAGCUAUGAGGCAAGUUUCUGCAUUAGUCAGUCAUAGCUAACUGAUCUAAGUAUUUGAUGGGGUGUGAAAUUAAUUGAAUCAUUUUAAAAGGCAAUCUUUUAAGGGUACUGCUAUCCAUACACCCCCCUGAUUGAAUGAAUUGAAGAAGAUCAAUGGCCAAAAAUUAACAAGGAUGUGUGGAAAGUAAAAAUGGGUGCUCAAAUAGCACUAUCCUCUAUUAAUUGUCCAUUUAAUGUUAAUGUAGGAGGAGUGUGUUGUGGCAAAAGUUUGUAUAUAAAUGUAGCAUUCCAUGUGAUUAUAAUUUCAAGUCUGCUUCUCCUUCCAGUUAACAGUUUGCUUAUGAUUAUUUUCAUUAGAAUCUGAACUGUUUUAGGCAUUGUGCUCAUUUGGUUUAUAUAUAUAUAGAGGGGUGUCAACGGAAGAGUAGAGUAGCUUCUAUUUGAAUUGAAACAACUACACAUUUAUUUCAAACAGUUGUAGUCUGGUUACAGGGUUAGAUUCAAGUGUAGGAGGUGAAUUGGUUGCUUCUUAUGGUGGACUCCUGUAAAUUUUCAUUGGUUGGGGAUGUUCAAGUUUCCUAUGCAUAGAUAGAAUAUCACAUUUUUGCUUGCAUAUGUUACCGGUCUCCUGUUACAUGUUUUAUGACUUGGUUAGACAAGAAGCAUACUAAGGAGUUGGUUGAAGUCUAAGUCAAUAAAUAGUUUUGAUAAGAUGAACUACCUUGUGGCGUCUAGACUGAAACUUUUUCCCCUGCUCUGAACUUCUAUCUUAAAUGAGGAAAUUUUUUUAUUCAUCUUUUGUAUUCGAUCUGGAUUAGGAGUCCCAAAGAUCGCUUUCCCUGCAUCUUUUAUCUAUAUUUAUGCCACAUAAUAAGUUUUUGUGUCUUAGUUGUUUUAGGUAUUAUAUAUUUUGCAGCUGAUGAAGCUGGAGAAAACAAACAAGCCCUUGUCAAAUUGGUAACUUGACAGAGGGAGAAAGGCUUCAAUCUCCGCUAGUGAACAUAGAGUUGAUGACACAGAUAAUUUUGAAGAG